rnacentral:rRNA from 1 species
UCGACGAAGGGACCCAUUGAUGGUGGAGUGCUUGCACAAAGCCUGAUUUGGAAUUUUCCCUUAGUGGCAAACGGGUGAGUAACACGUGGGUUACCUGCCUCAAAGCUGGGGAUAACGUUUGGAAACGAACGCUAAUACCGAAUGUGCUCUACGGAGUAAAGAAGCCCUUAAAGCUUCACUUUGAGAUGGGCCUGCGGCGCAUUAGCUAGUUGGUGGGGUAAUGGCCUACCAAGGCAACGAUGCGUAGCCGAACUGAGAGGUUGAUCGGCCACACUGGGACUGAGACACGGCCCAGACUCCUACGGGAGACAGCAGUUAGGAAUAUUCGUCAAUGGGGGAAACCCUGAACGAGCAAUGCCGCGUGAACGAUGAAGGCCCUCUGGGUUGUAAAGUUCUGUUGUUAUGGAAGAACUGUAAGAUUAGGAAAUGAAUCUUACUUGACGGUACAUUUCAAGAAAGCCACGGCUAACUACGUGCCAGCAGCCGCGGUAAUACGUAGGUGGCGAGCGUUAUCCGGAAUUACUGGGUGUAAAGGGAGCGUAGACGGUUAAGUAAGUCUGGAGUGAAAGGCCGGGGCCCAACCCCGGGACUGCUCUGGAAACUAUUCAACUUGAGUGCAGGAGAGGUAAGCGGAAUUCCUAGUGUAGCGGUGAAAUGCGUAGAUAUUAGGAGGAACACCAGUGGCGAAGGCGGCUUACUGGACUGUAACUGACGUUGAGG